GCCCUAGUUGCCAGUCAUUCAGUUGGGCACGUCUAAGGGGACUGCCGGUGAUAAGCCGAGAGGAAGGUGGGAUGACGUCAAGUCCUCAUGGCCCUUACGGGCUGGGCUACACACGUGCUACAAUGGUGGUGACAGUGGGCAGCGAGACCGCGAGGUCGAGCUAAUCUCCAAAAAGCCAUCUCAGUUCGGAUUGCACUCUGCAACUCGAGUGCAUGAAGUUGGAAUCGCUAGUAAUCGCGGAUCAGCAUGCCGCGGUCGAAUACGGUUCCCGGGCCUU
rnacentral:rRNA from 1 species